CAUGCUCCAGUGCUCUGGGACACUUUAUAGUCCUGACAGUUGAAGACUGGAGGACUGACAGCUGUCCUUCAUGACAACACAAGACACAGAAAUCAUGACUUUCACCUCCGUCCUCAUCUGGACUCUCCUCUGCUGCUGCCUCACAGAGUCCAGAGGACAGGUCACAGUGACUCAGUCUGGAGCAGUGACAUCUGCUCUGGGAGGAUCUGCCACCAUCACAUGUAGAACCAGUCAGAAUGUCUACAGCUCAAACCUUCUAUCCUGGUACCAACAGAGAGAUGGAGAAACUCCUAAACUCCUUAUUUACCUUGCUUCCACUCGAGAAUCAGGGAUUCCAGGUCGUUUUACAGGCAGUGGAUCAAAUUCUGACUUCACUCUGACCAUCAGUGGAGUCCAGGCUGAAGAUGCUGCAGUUUACUACUGUCAGAGUUUUCACUUCAUCAACAGUCAAUAUGUGUACACGUUUGGUGGAGGAACCAGACUGGAAGUUGGAAGUGACGUCCAUCCCACCCUGACGGUGCUGCCGCCCUCACGUGAGGAGCUGGAGCAGGGGAAGGCCACGCUCAUGUGUCUGGCCAACAAGGGCUUCCCCUCAGCCUGGACUCUGUCCUGGAAGUUGGACGGCAGCAGCAGCAGCAGCAGCAGCUGGGAGCAGAGCAUGAGCCGCGGGCUGCUGGAGAAGGACGGUCUCUACAGCUGGAGCAGCAUCCUGAGGCUUUCUGCUGACCAGUGGAGGAAGGUGGGCUCUGUGACCUGUGAGGCCACCCAGGGCUCCCAGAUUCUCUCAGAGACACUGAGGACAGACCAGUGUUCCUAGUCCUGACCUGACUCACUGACACUCUGCUACUGGUUUUACUCUGCAUUUCUGUCUCUUUUCUCACAAUUUAAAGUUUGAAAACUUCUCGCUCAUGUUGAUCCUGACUCUUUCAACUUUUUCCACAUAAUAAAGUUGUUUGUGUUUCAUUAAAAAA